AGUUAAAAAAUAUAAAUCUAAUCUAUAUUGACAAAAAGAGUAGCGUCGUUAAAAUUGUCUUAAUUAAACAGAACUGAAUAUUGCCGUGGCCCUAGCGAAUCAGGGCACAGAAUACUAGUGGGGUGUCAGCGAAUGAGAGGUGUCGUUUUUCACCUUCGUGACGUCAAGAACUUGCUGCGCAACCUAUCUCGCUCUCUUUUCUGACGGGGCAUGGACGCGAGCGGACGUAUUCUUCGGCUGUUGCAAAGAGGUGUUUGGGGGGAAAGAGAGAGUCAUUCUACGCAACCUCGAGCACUGCUCCUGGCUAACGUAGCUGUUAGUUUUCCGUACCGCCGGGAUUUCGCCGACCGUAUAACGUCGUCGGAGUCUCGUUCAACAUUCUUCUGGCCGGGUCUUUUACGGAGUUCUGAUUGGGGACAGCGCUGGGAUUAGCGUGCCUUCAGUGGAGUGGAUUCCAUUAAGGUGCCCUGACUUCCGAAAGUGCUGGAAAAGGGGUACAGUGGUGGUGGCGAGCCAACCAAAGAAUAUAUAUUACAUUUGAUAAACUUUUUAUUUUAUUUGUGUUGGUAAUGUUUAGAGGAAUUUAUUUUGUACGACAAGAGUUGACGAGAACAUUUUGUGUUUAGUUAUUCCAUUCAGAUUGAGAAAAAAAAACAACCUCACGCCGGUGUUGAGAAAGGUGAUCACAAAUUAUUUUGCGUUAAAGGAAAGGUCAACCAAGAGGUUGAGACUAAGUUGGAUUUAUUUACUUUUUCACUGUGUUUUUGUGACAAUAAUUUUGUUGUCAUGUGUUUAUGUUUGAUAUAAAAAUUACUUGUUUUUACA